ACCCUCUCAGAGUCGCACCUGGAGAGUUUCCAGUACACUACCAGUCUCAAAUGCAGGAGGGAGAAUCAAGCGGAGGCAUAUCCAUUCCAUUCCUAGCUUGGCUAGUGGCUAGCAAGUGGAAGGCAAUCUGCUACAAGA